GUCUCUUCUGCAGUGGUUUGGGAGAACGCUGGCCUGGAUGACCCAGUGGAAACUGUAGUGUAACUAAUGACCGGCCCACUGGACGUUUUAAUUGCUGCCUCAUUUCUGCUGGAGCCUGGCUUAUCCUGCAUCUGAGAUAUUUAUAAUCUGAACAUGCUGGAGUUAUGACAUCAUCCGGCACUGCUGACUAUGACAAGCGUUUGGGGAAGCAUGCAAACCGUUCUGUCAUGGGGACAAUGGGUUGUCAGAAGACUUGCAAGAUGGAGAAACUCCUGAAACAGUCGCAGUGGGAAGUAGCGUGGAGCCAGAGACAACGGUUAGCCACAACAAAGAAGAACAGCCGGAUUAGAGGCACAGAUAAGCUGAGAAAUGAAGUUUUGCCCCUCCAGCUCCCAGGUGUGCAGCGUUUGGACAGCUUUCGUCUUCUAAAGGACAACAGUGGAGCUCUAAGACUCAACCCUGAGACCCUGAGCCACCAAAGGCAGAAGCAGAAGUUACUGGAGACUGAGAUCAGCACCAGAAGAAAGGAGUGUGAAGCACUUGAAGCGGAGGUGAAGAAAAAGAAUCAAACAUGUCAGACUUUGGAGAAUGAGCUUCAAGAUUUCCUCCAGGAGAACAAACAUUUGAACCUCCAGUUCUUCAACAAUAGCCACAAGACAUCUGAGUAUGAGAAGGUGAAGUCUGAGUAUGCCCAGCUCAAAGAGACCCUUGGUGCUGUGACGCAGGAGAGAGAUUUAGCCCUGUGGGAGAGGAACCAGCUCCAAGGCAAACUGGAGAACCUAGAGCAGGUGCUCAAGCAUAUGCGCGAGGCUGCAGAGCGGAGGCAGCAGCUAGAGUUGGAGCAUGAGCAGGCCUUGGCUGUACUCAAUGCCAAGCAGCAGGAGAUUGAAGUUCUUCAGAAGGCUCAGGUUGAGGCAAAAAAGGAACAUGAAGGCGCUGUCCAUCUGUUAGAGAACCACUUGGACAGCAUGCAGGCCAAGGUCCGCGAGCUGGAGGAAAAAUGUCGGUCUCAGAGUGAGCAGUUCAACCUCCUGUCAAAAGAGCUGGAGAAGUUCCGGCUCCAGGCUGGGAAGUUUGAUAUCCUCAGCACUGAACCCCUAACUCUAUGUGAAUCUCCUGGGUCGCCCAACAAAUCCCUCUCACAGCUCCUUAAUGGACUGGCUGCCCCCAUAGGAAAAGGCAAUGAGGCUCCAACAAGCAGAUCUUUGAUAUCUGAGUUCAUUCGACCACUCCAGAUCAGCGGAGACAAGCCUGAGCUCCUCUCUGUCAAGCCAACAUUCCUCACUCGUGGCCGAGUCAGCAGCCCAGCACGGGCUUCCCACUCUGAGAUGGACAAAGAGCUCAGCUCAACUACCAGGUCCAAACUGAGGUUUACGGGGAAGGUUCGUCUGUGUAUUGCUCGGUACAGUUACAAUCCUUAUGACGGGCCUAAUGAGCAUCCUGAGGCAGAGCUCCCCCUGGUGGCAGGGAAGUACCUCUACGUUUACGGGACGAUGGAUGAGGAUGGCUUUUACGAAGGAGAGCUGCUAGAUGGACAGCGGGGACUCGUCCCAUCCAAUUUUGUGGAAUUUGUCCAAGAUGCGGAGACACCCUCCGCCCAACAUAGGGACACAGUGGCUAAAGAACCUGGCUACCUCAACCACAGUAGCCUGGGGCCUCAGAGACUGAAAUUCGGCACAGGAACGGGAACGAGCAUAAGCAGCCUGCUAUCGGACAGUAAACUAGACUGUCUAAGCACCAGCAGCUUGGGCAUGGACCUCCUGGGCUCCUCCAGCAACGGGACAGGAACCUUGGAUGUCAGCACUGACGAGGUCGGUGAAGACAUUGUGCCUUAUCCCCGCCGCAUCAACCUGAUUAAACAACUGGCCAAGAGUGUGAUUAUUGGCUGGGAUCCUCCUGUGGUCCCACCGGGCUGGGGCUCCAUCAGUGGCUACAAUGUCUUGGUGGAUAAGGAGGUGCGCAUGAGUGUCCCCUACGGGGGCAGGACAAAGUCUCUUCUUGAAAAGCUCAAUCUGGCCACCAACACCUACCGUAUCUCAGUGCAGAGCAUCACCGACCGGGGCCCGUCGGACGAGCUCCGGUGCACUCUGCUCGUGGGAAAGGACGUGGUGGUGGCACCUUACUACCUGCGGGUGGACAGCAUCACGCAGGUCUCUGCUGAGCUCUCUUGGAUGCCCAGCAACAGCAACUACAGUCACACCAUCUUCCUCAAUGGUGCAGAGUACGACAUGGUCAAGGCGGGGGGCUAUAAGUACAAGUUCCUCAACCUGAAGUCCAUGACAGUUUACAAGGUGAAGGUUGUGGCGCAGCCGCAUCAGGUGCCUUGGCAGCUUCCGAUGGGUCAAAGGGACAAGAGGGAAAUCUCUGUGGAGUUCUGCACUCAGCCUGCAGUGUGUGUGUUGUGCUCCUCAGGGCCCCCUCUCCCUCCCCAGGAGGUGCAGGUCCAGUGUGGUCAGACGCCGGGGGUCCUGCAGGUCAGAUGGAAGCCGCCGCCUCUGACGUCUUCAGGAACCUCCAACGGUGCCAGUGUAAUUGGCUAUGCCGUGUGCACAAAGGGACAAAAGAUAGCAGAGGUAUUAUACCCCACAGCAGACUAUACGACUGUGGAGUUAAACAGGAUCCAAUGUCUGGAGGCCAGGGAACUCAUUGUAAGGACGUUAUCAACACAAGGAGAGUCCCAGGACUCGCCCGUGGCCGUCAUCCCGCACAAUCUCUUGGGCUCUCCACGCCUCUCCCACCGAACCAUUGCACCUUCCCACACUAUGGCGCUCCCGCAGUCCCAUCCAGUACACUCACAAACCCAUCCUCCUUAUCCGUCGACGUAUCCCUUGAAUCAUCCUCAGCCCCAGGUGCAGCCUCUGCCUCGAACCCAGCCCCACACGCUGCCCCACACACAGCCGCACUCGCAGCCCGUCUGCCAACCCCCUUCUCAUUCCCAGCCUCAUUUCCAGUGCCACCCCAUGCCCCAGUCCAAACCGUUAGUAAGUGCCAGAGAGCCCGAAACCAAAGAGCAUGAGGUGGGAUUGCGGACAGCCCAGCCCUGGGAGCGAUCCCCCUCUCCGCUGCCUCCCAUGCGUGGACCCAACCUGGAGCCGCCGCAUUUCCAGCCACGGCGAUCGCCCUCUCCUCAGAGGAUCCUGCCACAGCCUCAGGGAGUCCCCAUCCCCAACACCAUCGCCAAGGCCAUGGCCAGGGAAGCUGCCCAGAGAGUGUUUGCCGAGGGCAACCAGGUUGAGAAAAGGAACAUCUUUAGCGAGCGCGGUAACGCCUUGCAUCCACUCAACUCUGACGAGGAGGAGGAUGGCUACGACUCUCCUCAUGCGAGGAGAAGAGGAGCCUCGGUGGAUGAAUUCCUCAGAGGCUCAGAGUUGGGCAGACAGCACCAUCAUCCCCACUACAGCCACAGUGAGGAGUACCACACGGAGAGUAGCCGGGGUUCGGACCUGUCCGACAUAAUGGAGGAAGAUGAGGAAGAUCUUUACUCUGAGAUGCAACUGGAGGAGGGCCGUAGGCGCAGUAUCAACUCUCACAACACUCUUAAGGCAUAUUACAAGCGUCAGGACUUAGCCGAGGAAAGAGACUGCUGGGACCUCCAGAGGGAGGUGGUGAAGCAGAAGUCGCUUCGCAGCAAGCGUCUCCACAGCAUCCCUGAGGUGGCCGAGGAAGACUCGGACUGCGUGGACAGCAUGGGCCAGCGACUGUGUUUCGAAGAGGGCGGCCGGCCGGGAACGCCGCACACUCAGUGGAGGACGUACCCCCAGGACACCCACAUGCACAACCAUCACACCCCUGGCAAGAACUCCCGCUACCUGCAGCGUCAGCGCUCCUCCCCUCGCUUCACUGACAGCCGCUACUGCUACAACGCAGACGACCGCAGCUUGGUACGACCCAACCGCCAGAGCACCAAGAGUCCUGACAGUGGUUUAGACUGUGGCAGUGAGGAAGAAGGCUCUCUAGGCCGGGGUUAUCGAGGGUACUAUACUCACGGUAGCCCCAUGCGGGGGCACGUGCAGGUCAUUCACUGUGAAGGUCCGGUAGAAAGGCGGGCGCUGGCUAUGGGCCGUAAAAGAACUCUGACCCGCCAGUGCAGCAUAGAGGAGGAGUUCUCUGACAUCCCAGGGACUGCAGCCAAGUCGGUACACACAGGUGACUUUAGGAACAGGGAGCACUUUGGGCCUGGUCGGGAGGCCGGUCAGCGAAACUACCCCAGGGAAGGGGCCCUGAGCGAGGGCAGGCUCAACGAGCUGGACAGGGUCUAUUACAGCCCCCACAGGGAGGCUAGGGCCCAGUCUUUGUCCAGGCUCAACCGGGACCAGCCGCUGAUCAUUGGGAACUCAGCAUCACAUGGAAGCGCUGAUCGCCUGGAGCACUCAGGGAGGAGGCCGGUUCACAUCGGCAACCCCCCUCAGCAACGGCCCAUCCCAUCCAUUGAGAUCACCAUGGACAGUAACAGUGAGGGGAGUGAGGGGAACCUCUCACCCGUCAAGGAGGAUGUUUACUAUGGCAGUGUAGCUCGGCGCAGGAUAUGGCGAUCUAUGUCCUCAGAGGAUCAAUAUGACGGCUAUGGCGGGCGCAGGCACGGGCGGGGACGGCGCUCCCCGGAGUACUAUGAGGAGUCUGAGCCGGAGGAGAUGACCCGUGUGUUCGUGGCUCUGUUCGACUAUGACCCCAUGUCUAUGUCUCCCAACCCCGACGCUGCUGAUGAGGAGCUGCCAUUCAAGGAGGGCCAGAUCAUCAAGGUCUUUGGGAAUAAAGAUACAGAUGGCUUCUACAGGGCGGAGGUCCGAGACCGCGUGGGUCUGAUCCCCUGUAACAUGGUCUCUGAGAUCCAAACAGAGGAUGACGACAUGAUGGACCAGCUCCUCAAACAGGGCUUCCUGCCACUCAACACUCCUGUGGAGAAGUUAGUGAACUGUGACCGUUUCAAAGAUGGCCGCUCAAUAAAUCGCAGGUCCAGAAAGUCCAAGAGAGAGAGGAACAGGCGGAGUGGCCGCCAACAUCCAAUGUCCACACGGAGGAUGGUGGCUCUGUACGACUAUGACCCCCGAGAGAGCUCCCCUAACGUUGAUGUAGAGUAUGAGGGCAACAGACUGAAUGAGGAGGCUGAACUGACUUUCUGUGCCGGUGACGUCAUCACAGUUUUUGGUGAAAUAGAUGAAGAUGGCUUUUACUAUGGCGAGCUCAAUGGACACAAGGGACUUGUUCCUUCCAACUUUCUAGAAGAAGUGCCUGAUGAUGUAGAGGUUUUUCUCACUGACUCACCAUCUCGAUACCCCCAGGACACUCGGGUGUCGGCUGCACGGAUAAAGACCAAAAGGAAGAAGAGUGUUCAUUUCACACCUUAAAGGCUCUGUUUCCGUCACGUAAGUGAGCAACUGAGGAUACCAAGAUUACGCUCCCCUCGUCUAAUGCAGAUGACAUGGGUACCCUUAGCUUCUGGUUCCACUGGAAAAAUCGGGUCCGCCCAGAAGAGCAGGCUCUCCCACAGUGCGUCCACACAUCCCCGGCUCUGGCCCUGCCACCGUGGGGCCCGGCCGUCUCAUCAGGGCCCCACCGGACAUGUACUCCUCCAAAAAGAAAAAGGGACUGCUCUCCAAAGGGAAGACACUAUUGCAAAGACUCGGCGCUGUAAAAUAAUUUCUUGACAUACUUGGAAAGUGUCAACCACUUCCUUGUAGUGUUAAAAGAAAAUGAAAAAAAUAUAUAUAAAUAUAACAGUGGACAGGUGGCAUUUGUGAGCUUAGCAAAUGCUUUAUUCUUGUACAUCUGUUGUCUACUAGAACAUUUGUAUUUUGUUAACAGUAUCAACUACAUAUUUUCAAUAACAUUUCAUAUUAUGAUCCCGAGACCUCGUGGUGUCGGCCGAUGUAGUAUCGAGCAUCUUACCUCCAAGUCUCUGACUGAUGUUUUGCUGUAGACAGAGACGAGGCCCGGGGCAUUCUCCUUGUUGCACCUGAUCAAGUCUGAUGGCACUUAAAACACCACAUAAGGAGCGUGACCAGUGUCUCUGUGUACAGAAUGUCAUUCAAACACUGAGGGAUCAUCAAAUAAACAUUUCCAAGUCCAUUUUGAAUCUGAAGAAAGAGAUAGGGCCUGGUAAAGACCUCGACCUGAGCUUAUUUCAAACAGCCAGCCACAUAAACUGUACAAGAGGUUUGCAUGCUUUACUUCAGCACAUUCCCUCCUGGCCCCUUGAGAGUGCAUGCAAUGUGACGGCUCAGUACGGAACCCAGAGCAUGCAGUACUUUAAUACGACGUGGCUGACUGGCUGCGCAGUAUACUGUAGUGUAACACAUCAGCAGCAUUAACUCCUACUCAUCUGCCCUAUCUUAAUUGUGAGAGACAAGUCUCCCCCCCCCCAACAUGUCAGACAUCUAAAAAAAACAAGCACAUACCGUACCUACUACAGGGUCUCUGCAUUAAAAUCAGCCUGAAUGGAAGUAGAUCCAACCUCCGUGUAUUUGCCUUAUAAUCGCACAAUGGUUAGUACUUUGCCCAGUAGAGCGUGCAGUUCCAUGCCUACUAUUCAUUUAUGUGGGUAAAAUCUGUUUGCAGAUGUUAAUCCUGACUUGUGAUGUGCAGGGUACUGUAUUGCGUGACUGUCGUGAUUUCAAUAGGACAAGAGCUUACACAUUACAGUCCAAGACUCCAGGUGUUGACAAUGUCCAUCGUCUAUGGUAACGCCCAAUACAUUAUUUUUAAUCUUAGAAAACAAUGAAAAAAAGUCAAAAUGUUCUCUGCAUACUAAUUGUUAAGGCUAAGUAACGAAGGGACUUUUCUUUUAAGUUCACUGUUUUUUGAUGCCACACUGAUGCACAUCUAAUUUAAAACUAUAUUACAUAAACAGAUUAAAAACAGGUAAUCUGUGAGAUAUAGUGUUGCAUAUGAUUCAUAACAUGCAACACUUUUGGGCUUCACUAGAAGACUAAAGGUUUGACUGUUUUCACAGUAGUUAAGAUUGAGACACAAGGCUACCUCUACGCUGCCUCCUCUGCCCUUCUAACCCAAAAUCUAUUAGAUCUGAAAAAUGUUUAUUCAAGCCAAUCGGUUAUUUAUGCCUGUUCAGCGUGUCCCGAGUUAGGUUGGUGCAGGAUACAAGUACUGUAUAUGAAUAUAUAUAUAUAUCUACACCUUAAUGUAGAGUAGUGAAUGUAUGAUGAAUUGAAAGCCAAUGUAUUGUCAAAGCUGCCCAAAAGGAUUGUGCAGAUGUCCCGUCUUUGUGCGUGAAAUUAAACAGUCCACCUUUAUUUCCUCACACCAUUGUUUUCCAUUUCAUCAUGUAUUCGAAAAGCUAGCCUAUUUUUUCUAAACACGAGUUGAACUGAAACUGCCAAAAAAGAAUGUAUGCAAAACAUUCUGUAAUACUUUCUGUACAAUUCUCGGCCGAACAGCCAUGUUAACCCACAGUACAGUAAACUGAUGGACAUCUUUUCCUAUUUCUGGACCAUGUUUUCAGACAUCGCUUCUAUUCAUUUUGAGUGACUGUUGCUCUUUUUGUACUUUGUCCAUUUGUAAAAUUGUUUUUAAAUGUUUAUACUUGAUUUUCAAACUGCCUUUUUUGUACAUUUAACUUUAUAAUCAAACAGUGCAAGCUUUCCCCAUGGUGUCUUGAAGACCAUAUUGUUUAAAAGUCUGCAAUUGUGUGCUAGCUUUAUGAUAAGAAUUAUCAGCCUAUAUUGAUGGUUACAACUUAUUGUGUGGGUGUGCAUGUGCAAUCUUUUCUAAAAAAAA